GACGAACCGUCCGAACGUUAUUCGGAAUCACUGGGCUUAAAGGGUGCGUAGGCGGCGCGGAAAGUUGGGUGUGAAAUCCCUCGGCUUAACCGAGGAACUGCGCCCAAAACUACCGUGCUUGAGGGAGAUAGAGGUGAGCGGAACUUAGGGUGGAGCGGUGAAAUGCGUUGAUAUCCUAAGGAACACCGGAGGCGAAAGCGGCUCACUGGAUCUCUUCUGACGCUGAGGCACGAAAGCUAGGGUAGCGAACGGG
rnacentral:rRNA from 1 species